AAGUUCCUGAGAUGUUCGCCAGGCUUAUCAUAUUCAACCUACAUAUGAUAUCCGGGAUUUGCAAAAUUAUAAUGGAUGUCAGGCUCCAAGCUUUAUGCUUCAAAAUUUUUGACAGGAGAAGGCUGAGAUUAUAUGAGUAGAACCCACCUGCGAGGCGCAGGUUUUGAAUAUAUAAGCUAACGGCAUGUUGGGAGAAUU
rfam:Clostridium baratii str. Sullivan, complete genome.